UUUUGGUGUUGAGGACAUUUGAUGCAUAACUUCUUGAAUCUUUCCCAGUAAUCAUAGAGUGACUCUCCUGGGUGUUGUUUGAUACCACAAAUCUUCUUCCUCAGACU